GGAGUCUAGCAUGUGCGCGAGUCAUUGGGACGACAAGCGAAACCUAAAGGCGAAAUGAAAGUGAAGGAGAGCCUCGAGCUCUCGGAGGGAGGAUGGGCGAAGUCCUGAGGCAACCCCGAAGGCCGGAGCCCCGCACUCCCGGGGCGUCUCGUUCUCAUCGCGAGAAGAGGCGCACCCAGAGCGUACACGCUGGGACCCGAAAGAUGGUGAACUAUGCCUGGUCAGGACGAAGUCAGGGGAAACCCUGAUGGAGGUCCGUAGCGAUUCUGACGUGCAAAUCGAUCGUCGGAACUGGGUAUAGGGGCGAAAGACUAAUCGAACCAUCUAGUAGCUGGUUCCCUCCGAAGUUUCCCUCAGGAUAGCUGGCGCUCGUAUUGUGCGCGAGUCUCAUCCGGUAAAGCGAAUGAUUAGAGGCAUUGGGGUCGAAACGGCCUCAACCUAUUCUCAAACUUUAAAUGGGUGAGAUCUCCGGCUUGCUUGAACGUUGAAGCCGCGAGAUCGGAUCAGAGUGCCAAGUGGGCCACUUUUGGUAAGCAGAACUGGCGCUGUGGGAUGAACCAAACGCGGAGUUAAAGCGCCUAAAUCGACGCUUAUGGGAUACCAUGAAAGGCGUUGGUAACUUAAGACAGCAGGACGGUGGCCAUGGAA
rnacentral:rRNA from 1 species